rnacentral:rRNA from 1 species
GGCACUACGGUGCUGAAGCAACAAAUGCCCUGCUUCCAGGAAAAGCCUCUAAGCAUCAGGUAACAUCAAAUCGUACCCCAAACCGACACAGGUGGUCAGGUAGAGAAUACCAAGGCGCUUGAGAGAACUCGGGUGAAGGAACUAGGCAAAAUGGUGCCGUAACUUCGGGAGAAGGCACGCUGAUAUGUAGGUGAAGCGACUUGCUCGUGGAGCUGAAAUCAGUCGAAGAUACCAGCUGGCUGCAACUGUUUAUUAAAAACACAGCACUGUGCAAACACGAAAGUGGACGUAUACGGUGUGACGCCUGCCCGGUGCCGGAA